UACAGAGGUCUCAAGCGUUGUUCGGAUUCAUUGGGCGUAAAGGGUGCGUAGGCGGCGCGGUAAGUCGGGUGUGAAAUCUUGGAGCUUAACUCCGAAACUGCAUUCGAUACUGCCGUGCUUGAGGACUGGAGAGGAGACUGGAAUUUACGGUGUAGCAGUGAAAUGCGUAGAUAUCGUAAGGAAGACCAGUGGCGAAGGCGGAUCUCUGGACAGUUACUGACACUGAGGCACGAAGGCCAGGGGAGCAAACGGG
rnacentral:rRNA from 1 species